rnacentral:lncRNA from 1 species
CCAGUGGCCUCUACAGUAAGCACGCUACUUCCUAAUCAGAAGAGAGAAAACGGUUCUGGAGACGGAGGGGCGGGGUUGCACAGAAGCGCCCUUGCCGCAGGCCCCUGGGGACACUCCAGCGGGGGCAGCGCCCAAGGCCAGUGUGUCUGUGUGUCAGCGUCUGGUCACAGCACCCCUAGCUUGGGGGAGGAGAAGCUUUGGAAAAGACCCAGCAAGUUGGGGCUUCAGUUCUGGCUCCGUCCCGGCCGAGGGGUGACCCCGGGCAGGUCCCCGCACAUCCUCAGCCUCGGAUGCCCUGAACGCCCCCACCGGGGUCGUGAGGACCCCCGGAGGUGCCAAACGGGGGCAGCACCGUCCAGCCCCCUGCCUCUGCUAUCUGUGUCCAACCUCAUCGGGCAGGGGUGUGGCCAUCCCUCACCGCACAGCUGCCCGGUGACGGCGAAGCCGGUCUGCAGUCUGUCCAUCAACCUCGCUCUGGUGGAGCAGAGAGACCUGGCCCUCACUGCUGAGACACCACAGUGCAGCGCGUCCCGGACUCAUGAGACCAGGCUGGCGGCGGCUGCGAGGUCGGCAGGACCGUCUGUUGGAGCGUCUGCAGCUGGCUGGACGGAACGUCCCGGAAAGGACCAUUCUGAGUGUGUUCCCAAAGACUAAGACAGGAGCUUUCUAGGCUUCAUCGGACCCAGGCUGGGAGCCAACUGGCAUCCCCCUGCUGUGUUCCACUGCAUCAGGGAGAGCUGGGAGCCAGCUUGGGUUCGGGGGGGACGGGAAUCAGACCCCACCUGUCAAUGGGAGGAGAACCUGGACAUUCACAGCUGCUCUCGGAGGCUGUGGCCAUAUUCCAGGACAGGGGGUGCCGACGGGAGCCGGGGAAGUGGCCGAGCAGGUCGCAAGACGGGGCUUGGGGUCCAGAUUCACAGUGUUCCCCCUUCACCCGUGGGGGAGACGUCUGAGACCCCCAGUGAAUGUCUGAAACCACAGACAGUACCGGAUCCCAUACUCUGUGUGGUUUCCUCUGUGGGUAUCCCUAAUGUAUAAACUGGAUGCAGGAAGGGAUAAACCCACGAUAACUACUAAUAAACUAGAAUGAGCGUAACA